AUCACCGAAUAUUUCUCCCCCGCUCCCUUUGAAUUCUCCCUCCUUCCCUCAGUUUCGUUUUCCCUCCUUCUCUGUGUUUCUUCUCACUGAAGCCUCCAUCGAGUCCUCCCUCCCUCAGUUUCGAGAUGAAAGUUUGAGACAACCCACAUGGAGCCUCCUUCAAAACCUCCUUCCCUCAGCUUCGUCUCCCACCGAAGCCUCCCUCCCUUCGUCUCCCACCGAAGGACUCUGAUCUUCGUGUGGGUCUUCAAGCAGAUCUUCGUGUGAGUCGUCAACUGGGAUUAAAGGAACAAGUAAGGAUCUGAUCUGGAUAUCUUGCCCAUUGUAUGGGUUUCUAAGGCCUUAACCAGUUGGUAUCACAUUUGUGGGUUUAUUAUUUAUUUGUACCCAAGCCAGGUUGCAAGAACUUCUAUUCCAAAUCUUAGUUUAAUGAUUUAUCAUUUUAAUAUUUCACCAAAUUAAACAGGAAUACUUUAGAUCUUCUUGGCCAAGCUGGGAUGUUUGAUGAAGUAGAGGCCAUAAGAAUAUGGAAAUGGGACCAUUUGAGGUUCUUUUCUUGAAGAUUGUUCUGUUCGGCAUGUUGAAUUGGUUGAAUAUGUUGCAGAGCAUCUCUUUGACUUGGAUAUUGAAAACCCAGGGGUUUAUGUGCAGUGCUGUUAUCAAAAUAUACAUGAAGAAAGUUCCUGGAUGUACUUCAAAUUGAGAAGCUUGGCAAGCUGGCAUUGAGUACAAGUGUAGAAGAUUAAACCUUCACUUAAUUCUGAAGACAUUUAUAGCAAGAGCUCACAUAGACGUUUGUUUGCAGCUGAUCUGCAAUGUAUUACUAAACUAUCCCAGUUAUACGUUUGCAAUGUAACUGCUGCAACACUCCUUUUCAAGAUUAUAUUGCAGCUAACAUGUAAUGAAUGUAAUUCAUGUAUUGGACACUCAAAUCAUUGAGGCAGGGUUUGCAUUUUUAA